rnacentral:rRNA from 1 species
CAUAUCGACGGCGGUGUUUGGCACCUCGAUGUCGGCUCAUCACAUCCUGGGGCUGUAGCCGGUCCCAAGGGUAUGGCUGUUCGCCAUUUAAAGUGGUACGUGAGCUGGGUUUAAAACGUCGUGAGACAGUUUGGUCCCUAUCUGCCGUGGGCGCUGGAAAUUUGAAGGGACCUGCCCUAGUACGAGAGGACCGGAGUGGACGGACCUCUGGUGUACCGGUUAUGACGCCAGUCGUAUCGCCGGGUAGCUAAGUUCGGAAGAGAUAAACGCUGAAAGCAUCUAAGCGUGAAACUCGCCUUAAGAUAAGAUUUCCCUGGGGACUCGAUCCCCCUGAAGGGUCGUCGAAGACCACGACGUUGAUAGGCUGGGUGUGGAAGCGCAGUAAUGCGUUAAGCUAACCAGUACUAAUUGCCCGUGCGGCUUGAUCCU